rnacentral:lncRNA from 1 species
GCCCAACAGGACCCAUAUACAUAUAGAACAGAAGCCUUGAGCUUCACAGGCUCGGACCAGAGUAACCAUAUACUUGCCCUCAAGGCCACUAUAUUUUACAAAACCAUAUCUCACAUUGUACUAGUACACCACCACUCAUAACAUAUGCACAUGAUGGAAGUAAGAGUCUCAAACAAACUUUAAAUACAAAACGAGGAUCAAGACACAAUCUUCGAUAUCUACCUGGCGUCGUCACCAUGAUGACCGACCCCGGAGCUCGAUGAUACCAUUUUGCAGUGUGUGACCCAGUAAAGCCUACUGUCGCUCUGAAAUGGAAAGUAAGGGUCAGUGCUAAUCACUAAGUGAGGAUCUACGUCCUAAUUACUCUAUGGUACAAAUAUUCAUAUAGAAAUUAUACAACAUAUAACACAUAAGGCUAACGCUAUAAUCUAACUUAUAUCCAUAUUUUAUUUGAGAUCCCGGCUCACAUAUGCUGACGACUCACGUAGAGUUAGUGGCACUAAAAUGGCCCACGUAGAGUUAGUGUGGCGCUUAAGGUCCAUUAUACCUCGGAGCUAGCUUUCCUUUUCUCCCAAAUCGCAUUAGACCUUUCCAAGGAGAUACCUUAAGAAAAACCUUUUCCCCCCCCUCAUCCGCGUAACAGAAGUGCAAUAAGCACAAUCGCCAGCAUACGUGCCCUAACUAAGUGAUCAAUCAAUUACAAGAUUUAUUCAUUAAUUAGUAAUAGCUACUGCUCAUAUUAACACAUAUAUUAAAUCAGAUAUAUCAGCAAAGUAACAGAACAUGUAUCAUAUUAAGUAAUAAAUAUGGUAGAGAUGCAUAUAAAAUCUUAAGAUUAAACGGACAUUACCCUAUCAUGCAUAUAGCCUUAAUAAUAAUAAACUCAUAAUGGAACGUCUAACCCGGUCAGAUACGCAGGAGACCCUCACCAGAAAUAAUCCUUGAGAAUACCGGUAAUAACUUCCGAGUUGAGCUCGUAUGUAAUUCAAAGGACUUGAAUUAUGAACAAGGUAUAAGGCAUUGGCUUCUUCUAUAUUUCCUCUAUUUAAGUAUCCUA